rnacentral:rRNA from 1 species
AGUGAACGCUGGCGGUAGGCCUAACACAUGCAAGUCGAACGGCAGCACAGUAAGAGCUUGCUCUUACGGGUGGCGAGUGGCGGACGGGUGAGGAAUACAUCGGAAUCUACUUUUUCGUGGGGUAUAACGUAGGGAAACUUACACUAAUACCGCAUACGACCUACGGGUGAAGGCAGGGGAUCUUCGGACCUUGCGCGAUUGAAUGAGCCGAUGUCGGAUUAGCUAGUUGGCGGGGUAAAGGCCCACCAAGGCGACGAUCCGUAGCUGGUCUGAGAGGAUGAUCAGCCACACUGGAACUGAGACACGGUCCAGACUCCUACGGGAGGCAGCAGUGGGGAAUAUUGGACAAUGGGCGCAAGCCUGAUCCAGCCAUACCGCGUGGGUGAAGAAGGCCUUCGGGUUGUAAAGCCCUUUUGUUGGGAAAGAAAAGCAGCAGGUUAAUACCCCGCUGUUCUGACGGUACCCAAAGAAUAAGCACCGGCUAACUUCGUG